GGCUCAAGGGGGUUGUGCGUGGCGGCGCCCCUGGCGGUGUGUGCAGUGAGCGGCUGGGACUGGGAUCCCGAUCCCGGAAAGCCAGCCUUCCCAGAUCUGGCUCUAGAACUCUCAGCUGCUUUAGCACCAUGACUGCCUGCAUGCCGCCGUGUUCCCCUCCACGUUGACAAUAGACUAAACUUCUGAAGCUGCAAGUCCCAAUUAAAUGCUUUCUUUUAUAAAAGA